rnacentral:lncRNA from 1 species
UGACUUCUCCUGCAUUGCUCUCAUAAGGACCCCGGUCAUUACCUCAGGCCAACCAGGCAAUCCAGGAUAAACUCCCCAUCUCAAGACCUUUAACCUGAUUACUUCUGCAGAACCCCAAGCCACUACUUCCUUCAUUGGACUGCAAGGUAUUUCUGUUUGGAAAAGUAAUGGAGUCCAGUCAACUUCAUUGAUCGCCAAGGACUGUCAAAAUUAUAAAACUUGCUGUGGAGCUCUGACAUGCCAGAAGCCGCUAGAAAAAGAAGUUUGACAUUCAGAAACUUAUCAAGAGGUUCUACUCUUUGGAUAGAGACCAAAAUCAUACUUUGAAAAAGCCUGACAGGUUUCUUCGGAAAAGUGGCCAUCCAUGGAAUGAAUGAAAUGUUCUCUUUCUAUUCCAGUAAGUAAUUGACUUGUAACUAAAAAUUGAACUAGCUGCUAUGUCAGCUGCAAUGUGAGCUGCUGCUGGCACAGGUGUUGCUUACUCUUUAGCCUGGAAAGAAAAGGGGUUUAAACUGUGAUUAAAUUUCAAGUCAAUUGACCUCAACAUGAUAGUACAUAAUUCUCACUUGCCUACCAAAUGGCCUGAGUUCUCAUUUUGACCCUGAUUCUGACACCUGCGUUUUUAAUGUUUGGUGUAGCUAAAGCUAUGGUUGCUCUUUUGUUUAGAAAUAAAGUGGGUAGAGAACAGUUCUAAGUAAAUAACAAAUGGUAGCCAGCCGAAUGAGUCUUUAAUACAGCGCUCAACGUGUUCGAUUUUUUUAAUGCAUUAACUCUGAGUUCAUGUAAAUUAUUAUUCAAUCUUUUCUUUUUAAACAGUAUGGAUUUAUGGGUAACAAUUUACUAACUAUGGAUACACAGUAAAUCCAAAUCAGUGAAUUACAAAUAAGGAAAGGAUGUGAGAAUUUUGAUGUUAAGUGCUUUCAAAUUAACUUUGAUUAUGUAACAUAUCAUAGGCGAAAUAUGCCUUGCACUUCAAUUAUUUUUGAGCCCUAGGAAUGAAAUAGCAGCAUUGUUUUUCUUCCUUAGUAUAAAUAGAACAAAAGUCUCCUUAACUUAAGCAAGAUGACCGUAUUUGAGUUUGGGAGACAAACCUUUAUCUUUUCCCAAAAGCAAAA